UCGAACGCUCGUAGCAAUACGGGAGUGGCAGACGGGUGAGUAACGCGUGGGAACAUACCCUCCGGUUCGGAAUAGCUCAGGGAAACUUGGAUUAAUACCGGAUACGGCUGAGAGGCGAAAGAUUUAUCGCCGGAGGAUUGGCCCGCGUUCGAUUAGCUUGUUGGUGAGGUAACGGCUCACCAAGGCGAUGAUCGAUAGCUGGUCUGAGAGGAUGAUCAGCCACAUUGGGACUGAGACACGGCCCAAACUCCUACGGGAGGCAGCAGUGGGGAAUAUUGGACAAUGGGCGCAAGCCUGAUCCAGCCAUGCCGCGUGAGUGAUGACGGCCUUAGGGUUGUAAAGCUCUUUCGCUCGGGACGAUAAUGA
rnacentral:rRNA from 1 species